rnacentral:pre_miRNA from 1 species
AGGAGGAACAACCCCAGUGGCAGCGGCCACGUCUGGAGCCCUGGAUUCAGCCCCCACAGUAACUACGGAGCUCUCCGUCUGCAGGGCCUGGGGGCUCCAGGGGCGG